rnacentral:rRNA from 1 species
UACGGGGGGACCAAGCGUUGUUCGGAUUUACUGGGCGUAAAGGGCGCGUAGGCGGCCAGCACAAGUCAGUUGUGAAAUCUCCGAGCUUAACUCGGAAAGGUCAACUGAUACUGUGCGGCUAGAGUGCGGAAGGGGCAACUGGAAUUCUUGGUGUAGCGGUGAAAUGUGUAGAUAUCAAGAGGAACACCUGCGGCGAAGGCGGGUUGCUGGGCCGACACUGACGCUGAGGCGCGAAAGCCAGGGGAGCGAACGGG